rnacentral:rRNA from 1 species
CUCGAGGCCAGAUCUAGAGUUUGAUCCUGGCUGAGAUUGAACGCUGGCGGCAUGCCUUACACAUGCAAGUCGAACGGCAGCAUGGGAGCUUGCUCCUGAUGGCGAGUGGCGAACGGGUGAGUAAUAUAUCGGAACGUGCCCUAGAGUGGGGGAUAACUAGUCGAAAGACUAGCUAAUACCGCAUACGAUCUACGGAUGAAAGUGGGGGAUCGCAAGACCUCAUGCUCCUGGAGCGGCCGAUAUCUGAUUAGCUAGUUGGUGGGGUAAAAGCCUACCAAGGCGACGAUCAGUAGCUGGUCUGAGAGGACGACCAGCCACACUGGGACUGAGACACGGCCCAGACUCCUACGGGAGGCAGCAGUGGGGAAUUUUGGACAAUGGGGGCAACCCUGAUCCAGCAAUGCCGCGUGAGUGAAGAAGGCCUUCGGGUUGUAAAGCUCUUUUGUCAGGGAAGAAACGGUAGUAGCUAACAUCUAUUACUAAUGACGGUACCUGAAGAAUAAGCACCGGCUAACUACGUGCCAGCAGCCGCGGUAAUGCGUAGGGUGCAAGCGUUAAUCGGAAUUACUGGGCGUAAA